rnacentral:rRNA from 1 species
UACAGAGGUCCCAAGCGUUGUUCGGAUUCACUGGGCGUAAAGGGUGCGUAGGCGGUCGGGUAAGUCUGACGUGAAAUCUCCGGGCCUAACCCGGAAACUGCGUUGGAAACUGCCCGGCUAGAGGAAUGGAGGGGAGACUGGAAUACUUGGUGUAGCAGUGAAACGCGUAGAUAUCAAGUGGAACACCAGUGGCGAAGGCGAGUCUCUGGACAUUUCCUGACGCUGAGGCACGAAAGCCAGGGGAGCAAACGGG